rnacentral:tRNA from 1 species
GCAUCAGGUUCAGUGGUAGAAUGCUCACCUGCCAUGCGGGCGACCCGUGUUUGAUUCCCGGCCGAUGCA